rnacentral:misc_RNA from 1 species
GUGAAUCAUCAAAUUUUUGAACGCAAAUUGCACUCUCCUCGGAGAGUAUGCGUGUUUGAGGGUCAGCCUCUAAAAAAUCGACAUCGUUGCUGUCUCGCGGUGGCGUUCGUCGUAAAUUGGGUCAUCUUAAAUCCUUUUGGUUUUUAAGCGACUUAAAAUUUUCUUUUUGGUUGUAUGAAAGUUUCUAAGAUUUAUUUCUUUACAUGUUUAAGGUAUCGAUUUUUAUUAGAAGUGACAAUCAUUUUG